UAUAUCGACGGCUGAACAACAUUUUAAAUUAUUAAUAAAUGAGUAGCUCAUUAGAUAAAUCGAUAGAUUUAAGAAACGAAAGUACAUAAUGGUCGAAUUUUGCUUUCAGACUUUGUAACUCUGUUGCAAUAGUCUUUAACAUAAAUUGUACUAUAACCUAAAUCUGAUUUUUUCAACACAUUAAAUUCAAAUUUCACGUUUGCACGAAAAAUUUUAUCUAAUUGCAGCUGUUAUACAAUAUCCAUAAGGACGGGUACUUGACACAAGAAACGACGUGAGGAACAAAAGAUAUUCUGUAAUCGGAUUUUUGGAAAUUUACCAGUUUUAUUUUUUACUUUAUUUUUAUUGCACGCGUUCGUACGGAACCGUGUGUCGCAUCUCUCGCUUUUCUACGACGAUCCAAACAUUUCCCCAAUGAUGUUGUGAAAGCAAGAACCGCAUAACGAUACUAUCGGCAAUGGAAUAUCACAAUUCAGAAACGAAAGACGAUCAAAACAUCUUUACCUCCGGGGAAAGAAGGAACAAUGUUGCCAUAAAUUAUGUUUGACCUACAUGAAUUACACGACGCAGUAGAAAAGCAGGUUUCAUUAAAGAAAAAGAGAUUAUUAAAUCCUGUAAGCAAUUCACUUUUUAUUCCUACGUGGCUUUUUUCCUUUAUCACCUGUUCCCAAACAAAAAGGCCGCUGCAGAAACAAUCCUAGCGAUCUUGUCUGUUCCGAUUCGACGAUUUUAUCAUGUGUUAUCCUGUCUGAAUCGCAUUCAAGUGUUAUUUAUGCGUCUAAAUCAGUGGAACAUUCAUCGAACCAUUUGCGAUCUGUUUCAAUCAACUUGAGUUAUCGAAUUGUAUUUUCGAACAACGAAAGAGAAUGCCAAAGAUUCGUUCGACAUCUUAUUCACCUUGUUUCUUCCAUCUAGACUUUACUUUACUUUACUUUACUAUAGCUUUACGAUUUUAUCAGAUACAACGAAAUUGAUAUUUAUAAUGUAUAAAAUAUGACACGUGAAACUAUAAAAAUUGAUAAAUAUAAUAAAUAUAUAAAUAUCCAAUUAAUAUAUAAAUAUAUAAAUACACAUAUGCUUUGUAUAUUAUAAAUAUCGAUUUCAAAAAUAUAUUGCAUAUAAUAUAUAUUAUAAUUAAUGGAUGAGACAUUAACGGUUGGUGCUUGAUGAGUUAAGCGAAUACCAUGAUCGUUUAGGCAAAUAGUUUCAGGAAAGAGAUGACGAAACCGAUAAUAACAGAAUAUCGUUUUAUUUUUAGAAAUCGAACGAGGGAGCGAAUGAUUUAUUCGACGUUUUACUCGAUUGCAAUCAUGCGUUACUAAACGAGAAUAACAAAAUCGUGGAAGAAUACAGGGGGAAAAAUUCCGAAAUGAACAGAUACGAACGAAGCGUAUAUUCGCGUUGAAUUUAUAAAGAAUUCAGGACGAGAAAGAAUACGUUCGCAAAAAAUCGUAUUUGCGCCAAAAAUCGAUACAAUCGUGUUCUUUUAUUGCCACGAGAUUUCUCAAAUUUCAAAGUAAGGCGAGAGACAGGUUAUCGACGCCUGUCAUCUCUGCUUUUAAUGUCGUGUUAAACGUGCCCGUACGUACGUUAAAUACCUUUAUGCUCGGAGACAAGACGAGACGUAAAAGUUCGAGAGUCAAGCGAAGAUUUACAUACGUGUUUACGUCUUUUAACGUCACAUUUUUAUACCAACAACUGGUUUAAAUCAUGUAUGCAGAACAAUUAAAUUUCCUAUUGAUCUUGCGUAAUUCGAACGAUCUUCUGUUUUCUCUGCGUGAACGCAUUCUUUUCUUCCAAAAUAUUUUCCGCGAUUAUCAAUUGCACCACCUUCUUCCUGAAAAACGUCUGUCUGAUUUUACACAUAGUAACAGCGCGCAGAACCGUUCGAGAAUUAUUCGUCGAAAAUGAACAGGUCCCGUUACACAAAAUCCGCGAAUAUCCUUAAACGUCGUUGAAAAAGAAGUAUCAUAGACUUGUCCGAACAAAGGGAGUAAUAUAAUCGUAGCGUUUGUGUUUAUGGAACAGUAACGCCAAUAAGGAGACUAAAAAAACCAUAAUCGGAAAUCUACGCGAUAUUGGAGCAGGCGGCGAACGACGUGCAGAGAUAAGAAAAAAGAAAUGACCAAGACGUCUGAGCCUUUCUAUGUAAGAAAUUUCGUAGAUUUGUCUAGCGUGAUGCAUUAUUAGCGAUUCUUUAUUCUAGGCACAUACGUUUCAGGGACAAUCAUAAUCGUCGAUUAUUCUAAAUGCGACAAAAGCGUCGCGUAAAGCAUCGCGUAACGUGUCGAGGAUCUUAGUUUAGACUCGAUGAAGUUGCGCGAUAGAGUUGCUCUAUUAAAGUACGGUAAUUAAUAAACGAAGUUAUAAAUGAAGGUAUAUCUGGUCCUUAAGGUCUCGGAAAGUUUUUAAGUUAAGUUAAGAUUUAUAAAUUAACAAGAUUAGAACUCGUGUUGCAUCACAUUAUUAUAAUUUAAUGUUUACAAGGAGCAAGAUGCCUGCUAAAGCAGCCGAUAUUUACGUACAGUUACAUGCUUACAUCAAAGUUUGUUUGAUCUGCCACUAACCGGUUAACUGCGUUCGACAUGUACACACGUCAUUCCUGAACUUCAUUUUGGUACGAUUGACGCGUAUACUCGUCGUGUGAAAUAAAAAAUUUACCGUUUACUAUAAAGGUCCGAAACUUUAGCAAAAUGUAAUAUAAAUAUGUAUAAAUGUAAAUAUAUUGCUUUUUAUAAA